rnacentral:rRNA from 1 species
CCUACGGGUGGCAGCAGUGAGGAAUAUUGGUCAAUGGGCGUAAGCCUGAACCAGCCAAGUCGCGUGAGGGAUGAAGGUUCUAUGGAUCGUCAACCUCUUUUAUAAGGGAAUAAAGUGUGGGACGUGUCCUAUUUUGUCUGUACAUUAUGAAUAAGGAUCGGCUAACUCCGUGCCAGCAGCCGCGGUAAUACGGAGGAUCCGAGCGUUAUCCGGAUUUAUUGGGUUUAAAGGGUGCGUAGAUGGACUGUUAAGUCAGCUGUGAAAGUUUGUGGCUCAACCGUAGUAUUGAGGUUGAUACUGGGGGGCAUGAGUAUAUUUGAGGCAGGCGGAAUACGUGGUGUAGCGGUGAAAUGCGUAGAUAUGAAGCAGAACACC